rnacentral:lncRNA from 1 species
UCGAAAAUGAAGAGGCCGCACAACUUAGGUGGUUAUGGUAGAUUGACAUUAAAGGCACUCGUGCAUCCACUGCCUCUAAAUCUUGAUUCACCUCAGUAUUUUUUGUUGAUCCAUCUAAAGGUUAAAUUUUUGAUCAAAGUAAAUCAUCUUUGCCUGGAAAUAUAAUAGAUUCAUUAGUUUUGAUUUUCCUGUACCAGUGUAUUUUGAGCUUGAAUUUUGUUUUGUACGAUGAAAACCAACUUGUUUGAUGCAAUACCUGCUAGAAAAUCUUGUGAGUUUGGCAUUUCUUUAGCUAGUGACACGGUUGAAGAUAUUAGACCCUAAUGAAUUUUCUAUUGGAAUUACAGUUACUCAACUCAAAUAUUGGAUACUUCAAAUACAUAGGAUCUGCAAGAAGCAUUGUUAUUGUUACAACUUUAAUCAGUGAAAAGCUAAUGAUAUUAGCUAAAAUUUGAGGUACAUAUUUCUGGAAAGGGAUUGCAGCAUUUGAAGAGAAGUGUUGAACUAAUGGGUAGCAAGAUACAAAUCAAAUGGCCAAAAGAAGUCACAGCGGCUUUUGUUGAACAGCUGAUUCGAGCAGAAAAAGAUUAUA